GCAAGCUCUCCCUGGGGUAAUAGAUCAGGACUCAGGUAAUAGCGGAAAGCGCCAAUCCUACUCUUAAAAUGGAUACAAGAGAGCAUUUGGGGUUUUUUUUUUUAAUGCCUGUUCUU